rnacentral:rRNA from 1 species
UGGGGAAUAUUGCACAAUGGGCGCAAGCCUGAUGCAGCCAUGCCGCGUGUAUGAAGAAGGCCUUCGGGUUGUAAAGUACUUUCAGCGGGGAGGAAGGGAGUAAAGUUAAUAUCUUUGCUCAUUGACGUUACCCGCAGAAGAAGCACCGGCUAACUCCGUGCCAGCAGCCGCGGUAAUACGGAGGGUGCAAGCGUUAAUCGGAAUGACUGGGCGUAAAGCGCACGCAGGCGGUCUGUCAAGUCGGAUGUGAAAUCCCCGCGCUCAACCUGGGAACUGCAUUCGAAACUGGCAGGCUAGAGUCUUGUAGAUGGGGGUAGGAUUCCAGGUGUAGCGGUGAAAUGCGUAGAGAUCUAGAGGAAUACCGGUGGCGAAGGCGGCCCCCUGGACAAAGACUGACGCUCAGGUGCGAAAGAGGGGGGGGCAAACAGG